ACGCCCUGGUUUAUAGCCAAAUUGUGAUAAAACACAGAAUGUACAACAGUUCAAAAUUCAUAUUUGUUGUUCUUUCUUUCCAUACUAUUUUAUAAUAAGAACACAGUUUGAUUCAUCAGCAAGUUAUAUCUAUUGUGAAUGUACUCAGGCUUUUGGUAGUGUCCUUAAACAAAGUUAUAAUCUUGAAAGCUUUUUGGCAAAUUUUCAGAACGUUGAGACAGAGAGGCGACAGUCAACAGUAGAAAAAUUAAGCUGAUGGGAAAAUUCUGAGUUCUCAAUACAGAAGGACUAAACUCAUACAACAAGAAAGCUAUUUUGAAAAUAUUGAACUAGGACUUACUGGUAUCCACUGGAAUGCAUACAUUCGUUAAAGUGGUAACAUCUGGCUCAAUGAUGUACUUAUGUAGCACAACAACCUGCUCUGUGCUGUUAUGGAAUGUGUUUGAGACCUGCGUCACAAGCCUAAAAGGCAGAUGUGUGUGGUGGAUGUAACUUCUAUCGUCUUACACAUCAGGCCGAUAGCCUCAGGCAAAUCCACUAUUUGGAGAAGCCAGAGCACAAAAAGAUGGAAUUAAGACCUAGGAGAAGCUGUGCACUCUACCUCCUUCACUCAGGACUCGAGAAAGAUUUGGGACCGCUUGCCCAAAGUAAUAGCCAGUGUUUACCUUAGCGGGAUGGCUGUGUAAUGCACAUAAAUUAGUGUGGCUUUACUGUAUAGUGUAUGAGAUCAUGGGUGCAUUAUUGUGCACAUAUGCACUUUCUGAGAAGGGUGGUGAAUAAACAGCUUACAGUUCCCCAUGUUUGCAUGUAGCUGCACCUAAUUACUUCUGAACUAUUUCCAGGUACACCUAAGUUUAGGAAUCCACGGUGGCAAAUGCACAACAGUCUACAUGUUGCUUGCCUUUGUGGUUGUGUUGAUGGUGAAAAGGAAUGUUGCAAACUGCAGAAAAAUAUUAAUAGUCUGGUUAGGUGAGCGUAAAAGUGGCAAAGAGAAUUCAGUCCUGAGAAAUAGGAGGCAUAUUGGCACAAUUAGUAGAACUGCUGCCUCACAGCCUCAGGGUCCCAUGUUCAGCACUGAUCCCAGCUGCUGUUGACCUGGAGUCUGCAAAUUUUACUUCAUGCUCCACUGCUGUGAUUUCCUCCCGCACCUCAAAAGGUAAGUAGCUUGGCAUGUUAGCUGACCGCUACUAAUUGCCCUGAGUAUGUAGGUGAACUGUAGAAUCUGGAAGGAGUUGAUGACAAUGUGAGAUAAUAAAAGAAAGUGAUUAAUUCAGGAAUACGGUGAUGCUGGGUGCAGAGGCAGAGGGUUCAAGGGCCUCGAAGACUUUAAUGCAUUUAGGGAGGACAAUCAAAACAAGAGAUAAAUAAUAGACGGUCAAUACUGUGUGUGGGUGGGGGGGAUUUUGUUGUGCACUUCAACAGAUCUUUGAAGAUAGUGCAAGUGAUGGAUUAAUUAAGUGCAUUACUUAGUGUGUGUAGUUAUUUAACCGUAAUGACCAGAAGGCUGAGCUAUUGAUCCAGACUUAGAACCUUAGUAUGACAGCUGAAGAAUUUAAACUCUAACAAUGAUGUAAACAUGAAGUAAAUGCAUGAAUCAGAAAUGGUAAUCACAAAACAACUGGAUUGUGGCAAAAACUCUUCUGGGUCUGCACUCUUGAAAGAAGGAUUUGUGCCAUUGUAGCCUACAAGUGGCUUCAGGCCCACAAAUGUAGUUAAAACUUAACCAAACCCUCAAAUUAAGGGGCAGUUGGAAUUGUGAACGCAAUGCAAGUUAUUUCCAGCAGCAGUCCCAUUCCACGAAUGAAUGUAUUAAGUACAUUAAAAACGAUGUGGUGUAGUAACUUAGAGCAAGAGAGUUCAUGCUAAAACUAUGCACAACAAGCUAUGGCCAUAAGAGUCCGCACAUUACAGGGAGCACCAAAUAGCACAGUCCUCUCCAGGGUCUGCUGAGCAGGAUUGGGUUGUGGACAUGACACUCCAGAUAUAAAAGGAAAAUUUGCACGAUGACACACAUGGCUGGCUGCUGAACUGGAUGGUCCGCACAUGUGCAUUGGUUGUAAGCUAAGGAUGCCUGUAGACUACGCCAUACAUUUCAUUGAAUAUCAACAUCUGACAACUUGGCCACUUGCAGAGCUUUGCAACUGAAUGCACAGCAGGGAAAGAACUUGCAUCUGCUAAUGCAGAACAGAUUUUGGCUGAAGCUGAUAGAGCUUCAUGUUGAAGAUGAUGGUAGGAGCAGAUAAUCAGGUUUUCAAUGAGUCACUUCAGUUUGAUUAAUGAACAUGAGAUAUCCAGACAUGUGGUGGAAAUGCCAUGGGAGGAGCAUUAAUAUGUGCGUCUCUUCAAGAUGGCAACAUAUCUGUUCCUUUGCCAAAUCCUUGACUGCUGUGGAGGCAGGAAACUGGCUAACUUACUUUGUUCUUUUUGAACCCAAGGUGCAGGAACUGAAAGGAAUACACAAGCUCGGUUACCCAAGUAUCAACAGCCUUGCGCAUCUCAAGACUCCUUCCAUUAGAACGUCCACCAUCAGUAUUGCUUAGACCUUGUAAGAGUAGGAAAGUCAACCCCACAAUGAACAAUGAACCCUGUUCAGAAUAAUGGCCUUGCAAACUAUCAUGUGAGUAUACAAAUUAAGAGCAGGAUUAGGUCUCUUUCUCACUAUCCAUCUAUCUAUUUGUAAUUAUUUAAUCUUGCAGCCAUGACACAUGUGGGCCAUAAUAAACCUGAUUCUGAUUCUGAGGCUGCAGUUCCUCAAGGCUCUGCCUUAAAAAUACUCAAGCCUCCAUCAUCUUUGAGAAGCCAUGUGGAUAGAUUUCUUUUGCCCUUGUUUGAAAUGUGCAAAUCUCUAUUUUUAAAGUGUCUCCAAGUUCUAAGUUGCCCCCGUCACUGUCAGGCUGCGCAAAUCCUCACAUGAUUAAAAGGCAGAACAAGUCUGAAAUACUCUUCACUGGUGGUGAUCUGACUGACUACAAAGGGUUGCCAAGAUUUCAUGCGUGCACAUUAAUUUCUAAUAUCUGUUGAUCUAUGUAUGACAUUGUGUGUUGAUUAUGAUCUAAUCUUGAUUUUAUGUUAUCUUUUCAAUAUCCUGAUUAUAAUGCUGCCUUGUUAUCAUUCCAAUCAUUCAUUAAAUGAAUUAC